UCCGGGAUAAAGGAUGUGGGAGAACAUCCUUCAAACUGGAAUGGGCAGUGUAGAGGGGUGGAGGAGAGAAAGCCACCUGGUCCCCUCAGGCAGAGGAGACACAGGGAAGGGCAGGCAGGGAGACCUUCCUCGGAGCCUGGCCUGCAUCCCACAGAUGGAGAACUGACCAACGAUGUAGAAGAACUCCUCAGGACUACUGAUAGCUUUCCUCCUCCAUCCUUAUCCAAAACAGUGUUUAUGCACACCGAGUCAACUGACAGCCUUACCAGUGUUUCCUGCAAAUUAUAAAUGCUCCCGCGUGCUUCUCCCAUGUGCUUCUUACGCGAGACUUCUACGGGAUGCCCAUCCCAUGGAUCCAGUGACUAGCCAUUGUAACGUCCCCGCUGGUGUGUCUGCUCUCCCUGUUUCCCUAUCCUACCCUCCUCUUUUAUUUCACAUAGGAAACAGGAAGCCUAAUCAUUAGGCAAAGCCUUGAAGUGGGGGCCUUAACAGUUGCUCCUACAUAAUUCAUGCAGAUGCCAAGGUCAACAGGGCUUUGAGAAUUUAUUUUGGGAGGGCGUUUUUUUUUUCUGCAAUUCAAAUGCAGGAGGAAAUUGUCAACGCUAAUAAAAUCAAAAUUCUUACA